GCAUGUCUAAGUAUAAGCAAUUAUACAGCGAAACUGCGAAUGGCUCAUUAUAUAAGUUAUCGUUUAUUUGAUAGUACCUUACUACUUGGAUAACCGUGGUAAUUCUAGAGCUAAUACAUGCUAAAAACCCCGACUUCGGAAGGGGUGUAUUUAUUAGAUUAAAAACCAAUGCCCUUCGGGGCUCCUUGGUGAUUCAUGAUAACUUCUCGAAUCGCAUGGCCUUGCGCCGGCGAUGGUUCAUUCAAAUUUCUUCCCUAUCAACUUUCGAUGUUUGGGUAUUGGCCAAACAUGGUUGCAACGGGUAACGGAGGGUUAGGGCUCGACCCCGGAGAAGGAGCCUGAGAAACGGCUACUACAUCCAAGGAAGGCAGCAGGCGCGCAAAUUACCCAAUCCCGACACGGGGAGGUAGUGACAAUAAAUACUGAUACAGGGCUCUUUUGGGUCUUGUAAUUGGAAUGAGUACAAUCUAAAUCCCUUAACGAGGAACAAUUGGAGGGCAAGUCUGGUGCCAGCAGCCGCGGUAAUUCCAGCUCCAAUAGCGUAUAUUAAAGUUGUUGUGGUUAAAAAGCUCGUAGUUGAACCUUGGGCCUGGCUGGCCGGUCCGCCUCACCGCGUGCACUGGUCCGGCCGGGCCUUUCCCUCUGUGGAACCCCAUGCCCUUCACUGGGCGUGGCGGGGAAACAGGACUUUUACUUUGAAAAAAUUAGAGUGCUCCAGGCAGGCCUAUGCUCGAAUACAUUAGCAUGGAAUAAUGAAAUAGGACGUGCGGUUCUAUUUUGUUGGUUUCUAGGACCGCCGUAAUGAUUAAUAGGGACAGUCGGGGGCAUCAGUAUUCAAUUGUCAGAGGUGAAAUUCUUGGAUUUAUUGAAGACUAACUACUGCGAAAGCAUUUGCCAAGGAUGUUUUCAUUAAUCAGGAACGAAAGUUAGGGGAUCGAAGACGAUCAGAUACCGUCGUAGUCUUAACCAUAAACUAUGCCGACUAGGGAUCGGACGAUGUUACUUAUUGACUCGUUCGGCACCUUACGAGAAAUCAAAGUGCUUNGGCUNCANGGG
rnacentral:rRNA from 1 species